AGGUGGCUGGGCCUUCCUGGUCCCCUCCUUGGCUGCGAUGGAGGCCGAGGACAGCCAGGACCCAGGGGAAGACGCAGUUCUGUGGUAGCCAGGCCUGUGGGCACCAGGAGCAGAGGGAAGAGGAUGGCUGGGGCUGGGGGUCUGGGAACAGAGGGACGCUCAGCCACCUGCUGCAGUAGGCGGCUGAUGGGCUGUGCCGGAGACACUGGUGUGGGCAGAAGACUCAGGAAACUGCAGCCUCCCAAGUGGGUUGGGAGCUGGCCCGGCCCAGGGAGGCCCCUCUGCCGGGGAACGAAGCCAAGGCCUGAGAGUGACGCAGCCUCCCAAGGCCAUGCCGCCGGCGAGGGGCCAGGCCUGUCCUUCCCGAGUGCAGCACCACUUCCGGGACACACACGUGGUUCUCAGUGCUGGGGGCCGGAGCAGCCCCCGCUGGCCUGGCCAGGACUGAGUGCAGGAAGGGGCUGCCCCAGGCAGGGCCCUAGGAGGGACCUGGGGCCCUCACGGCUCUGGCAGCUGCCACCAGAGCCACCCCCAUUUUUUUUCUUUUAAUGCUUAAAGAAUACAGCUUUAUUCAUGUCCAUUGGGGCAGCUCAAAACGUAGUUGAUAAAUUUAUUCCAAUUUAUUUUCCUGGUAGAAGCCCUGAAGGGGUUGUUUGCUGUUUGUUGAAAUGAAAUCCACGUAACAUAAAGUGGACUGUUUCAAAGUGUACGA
rnacentral:lncRNA from 1 species